UUUGUGGAGUGAUUGAUUAAAACCCCAUUUGAUUUUGAUGAGCUCAAAGCAUUUGAGUAUAUCUUUUAAUUACUAAUGAAUUCAAUUAAGUGUUUCAGUGAAAAUCCUGUCUAAGUGUCCCAAGACUUGGUUCAUAAUUGUUGGAUAAGUUAAGGAGUCUGUUUGAACCAAUGUCUGAGACUCGAGUCGACUCCUGAGUAUCACGAGUCGACUCCAAGCGUAUCAAGUUCACUGGCACGNGCUCGAGUCGACUC
rnacentral:lncRNA from 1 species